AUACGUAGGGAGCGAGCGUUGUCCGGAAUUACUGGGUGUAAAGGGAGCGUUGGCGGGAGUGCAAGUCAGAUGUGAAAUACAUGGGCUCAACCCAUGGGCUGCAUUUGAAACUGCAUUUCUUGAGUGAAGUAGAGCUAAGCGGAAUUCCUGGUGUAGCGGUGAAAUGCGUAGAUAUCAGGAGGAACACCGGUGGCGAAGGCGGCUUACUGGGCUUUUACUGACGCUGAGGCUCGAAAGCGUGGGGAGCAAACAGGAUUAGAUACCCUGGUAGUCCACGCUGUAAACGAUGAUUACUAGGUGUGGGGGGACUGACCCCUUCCGUGCCGCAGUUAACACAAUAAGUAUUCCGCCUGGGGAGUACGGCCGCAAGGUUGAAACUCAAAUGAAUUGACGGGG
rnacentral:rRNA from 1 species